CCUACGGGAGGCAGCAGUGGGGAAUAUUGGGCAAUGGGCGCAAGCCUGACCCAGCAACGCCGCGUGAAGGAAGAAGGCUUUCGGGUUGUAAACUUCUUUUGUCGGGGAACAAAGGCGGAGACGCGUCUCCGGCUGAGUGUACCCGAAGAAAAAGCCUCGGCUAACUCCGUGCCAGCAGCCGCGGUAAUACGGAGGAUGCGAGCGUUAUCCGGAUUUAUGGGGUUUAAAGGGUGCGCAGGCGGGAGAUCAAGUCAGCGGUAAAAUGUCGGGGCUCAACCCCGGCCGGCCGUUGAAACUGGUUUUCUAGAGUGGGAGAGAAGUAUGCGGAAUGCGUGGUGUAGCGGUGAAAUGCAUAGAUAUCACGAAGAACUCCGAUUGCGAAGGCAGCAUACCGGCUCCAUACUGACGCUGAGGCACGAAAGCGUGGGGAUCGAACAGGAUUAGAUACCCUUGUAGUC
rnacentral:rRNA from 1 species